AAGUUUGACGACAAGAGGUACCGCAUAUUAUUAAUAAUAAUUAUUAAAUAGUAAAAUAUCUAAUAUUUUUUCUUUUUAUAAGGCGGUGACACAUAAUCGGAGGCCCCGACUGUUUACUAAAAACACAGAUCACAGCAAUCAUGUAAAUGAUAGUAUUGUGGUCGAAAUUUGCCCGAUGCCAUUAAUAUAAGAGAGGUUAUAGUUUCUGUGACUAAUCGAAAGUCUGGUUAAUAGCGGUCUUAACUAUGAGGAUCCUAAGGUAGCAAAAUAAAUUGGCCAUUAAAUGUGGUCCGGUAUCAAUAAUGUAACGAGGGCCUCACUGUCUCUACAACUUGCUCAGUGAAAUUGAAUUACCCGUGCAGAUGCGGGUUACCUCCAGGGGGACGGGAAGACCCUAUGCAGCUUUACUGUAGUUAGUUAUCAUAUUAAUCUACAACAACCUUUGUUACUAGAGAAUAGGUAAGUCGAUAGACUAUUUGUGGAAACCUUAAAACUUAGGUUGGGUUAAUGUUUACCUUUAUAUAAAAUAAAAACUUAAAAGGGAGAGGUUACUAAUUGGCAGUUUGACUGGGGCGGUCGUCUUUAAUAAAGUAGCAAAGUACAUCCAAAUAUUUAAAUUAUUAUAAUGUUUAAGUUUAAAUUUAGUUUCUGAAUUUAAAUUAUUUUACAUUUCAAACAAAUAAAAUAUAAAAUAAUAUUAUAUUUUUUAUAUUAAUAUCUUUCAUAUACUUUUGUAUAUAGUAAAGAAAUACACAAAAAAUUAAAAAAGGUAUAGCUAGAAAUUGAAUGGAGAUCAAUCAACCAGUGAAAGGUUGUGCAGGGCUCAAUGGCGGUAAGCAUGCUUAACUGAAAGACCUAAAAGUCGCACAGAUACGUAAGUAGGGCAUAGUGACCCCUCGCUAUAAUAUGGGAUAGACGGGGAUCAAUUGAUAAAAGUUACGCUAGGGAUAACAGGCUGAUAGCCGACGAGAGUACACAUUGUCUCGGCUGAUUGGCACCUUAUGAACAAAAUAAAUAAAUAUAUUAACGCACACAAGAUUACUCUUAAAUUUAAAAUUAAAAGUGAUAUAGGUAAUAUAGAUAUUUAUGACAUUGGGGAAUUUUAAUAGAAAUAUUAACUUAGAAUUUGGCUAUUUGCUGGAACACCCUUAGAGCUAUCAAUACUUAUUUUUUUAGUAAUAAAAUUAUUUCAUUUUUUUAAUGAUUUAAUAAGUGAAAAUUUGAUAGAUUGGGCAAUCAGCAGGGAAGUGAUUAAAUUUAGAUGUAAGUAAUUGUAAAAUUUCUCACCCCUCAACGAUCACACGCCAACAACCAGAGCUUUUCCAAUUUACUCUUGGAACUGGUUGAAGAUAUGAUCU
rnacentral:rRNA from 1 species